ACCCUUUAUUUACGUUGAAAGAAUCUUAGCUACUAUAUAUAAUCAAGGCAUUAUCAUCGAGGCCCCUCUCUUUCAACCAAGAGGAAGCUGAGCUGCAAGACCAGGCUGAAGCUGAAGCUGGAAUAUGAGGAUAUCCUACGCACUCUUCUCUCUUCUACUCCUGCUAGUCUCAGCCAAGUUUAGCCAACCCCGGGCAAUCAUCCACGAGGUCAAUGCGGUGAGGAUUCCAGAGCACACAUGCCACAAGCUGCUCGACAUGAACAGCUGUGAUUCGCAGAAAUGUAACCAAGAAUGUUCCAAGGAACCUCUAGGAGUGGGAGAGUGUAGGAAUACCUUUUGUUCUUGCACAUAUUAUUGCAAGCAACCUCCAAUGUAAUGCAUUUCCGUCCUGCUUUGUCAUAGAACAGGAGUCCGUAUUCUGGCAUGUACAAAAUGCAUAUUUAGGUCUAGAGCAUCAUCAAUGUGGGCAUAAGAGAUGAGUCUUGACUAUUGUAUACGGAUACAGUAUUUUGGUACAAAAUCAGUGAAUGCUAUUUGAUUUUUCUCUUCCUAUCA